UUUACGUACAUAAUUUCUUUUUUAUUGACGUUCAGGUUGGAAACAUCUAGGUAUUAUCCCUGAUUCUUCAACACUAAAUAUACCUGUGUUGGCAGUACUGACGAUGUCCCUGGUUCUUCAACGUUCAAUUAUAUACUGUUUUAGAAUAAUGAAGAUGAAAAUAUUUCUGGAAACAAAAACACAACUUCAGUGAAUGAUUUUCCAUACGACUUUGCUGUCAUAAUUCUGAUGGAAUGCCUGCUACAAUCAAAGAACCUUCGAAGAGAACAACACUUCAUAUCCAGUCCCUCCCAACAAUGGAAGCAUGACACUAUAACGAUGUAGGAGACGAGCCUAAUUAUUGCUGCCUCAAGUACAGAUACUCCCACAACGUUGGUUCAUGAUGACACCAAAUCACGUGAUGAUGAACUGAACACGGUUGAAUUAUCUGAUGUUGAGAUCUGGAACGAUGGCUGUCCAUUACCAUCAAGUGGACAUACUUGUUCUGAAUGGCAGAACAUUCACGAUAUAACAUUAUAUUAUUAUAUUUAAUAACGGUGAGCAAGAACAUGAUAAAUGUAAUCCAAAAAGAAAAUUACAAAGGGAAGAAAAAGACGAAAGUUGACAUUAAGAAUCAGAAAUAUUUGAAGGAUGAGAAAGUCGAGAAAACAAAGUCAGAGAAAUUUCAUCGACGACCUGUGUCGCUGUUCUGUUUUUGUGUUUCUUGACUUUUGAAACAAAUGCAGAACAUCGAUCAAAGUUACGAAACGGAUUACGAAACGGAACAAUCAAGAUAAUAACUUUGAAG